rnacentral:lncRNA from 1 species
UACAUGUAGUUCAGAUCUAAAUCUUUAGAUCUAAUCUUAUUAUCUGAUAUUUCAAAUCUAAAAUUAAAUCUAAAACUAUGAUGAAAGAAGAAAUACCUCAAGGGUAAUCUGAUUACCCUGUAGAUGAUCUCUGCACAGUCCGAGGUUCUGAUGUAGCCACGCAAGCGUCUGGCCUCUAUCGGUAUCCACUCGGGUAGCAUCUAGAACGUCUUCUCCUCGCGAAUCUACGCUCCAAAAAUCAGAUCUAAAUCUGAUUUGGAAGUGCUUCAGAACUCCUUCUGAAGCUGGAGCAGCAGCCUGUCGAAGAUGUCCUGCAGCCUUCUGUUCCAGGCGUCACCAUGCCUUGGAUCUUUGCCAGAUGGACGUCCAACUCUUUGGACGUGAAGAGGGGAGGAAGGAGAGCAGGGAGGACGUGGAGAAGAGGGGAGGGGGCGGCAGCUUUUGGGUUUUGUGCAUAAAACAACUUCUACCUCGAAACCCUAGGCGCAGCAGGGUUUAUAUAGACCCUGUAUGCUGCGUAGUGCCACAUCAUUCAACCAAUCAAAAAAUUUCAAUAAAUUCUGGAAAAAUUCUGAUUGGUGAAGCGAUGUCAUCUGAUCAUAUU